GGAUACAAAAAGCUAUCUAUGGGUUCAUGGAUAUGCCAAAGCUUCAAUGCUCAUUUGUUACCUAUAGGAGAAGGAGUAUUAGUAACAAAUAAAGCGGCUAAAAAAGGAGGUAAUUUGGGAGUUUCGGGUAAAAAGAAUCGUUGAAUUGUGAAAGUAGAUAAAUGCACAGUAGAAGAGCAUGUUUCCAAAAUCAGGUCUUCACAUGGAAAGCCAGUUGAAGCUUAAGCUCUCUAAUUUAUUAAACUCUGCUUUCAUAGAUAGGAGAAGAAGUCUUUUCCACCACAGAUCUCAAAUGCUAAGCUGAAAUCUGGAUUCUCUCCUUAGUAGUAGCUGUAGGCUAUAAUUUUGAACUGUGAAUAGUUGCAAUUAUUAAUUAAUCCUAAUAUUGAUUAGUAUAUACUUUGCCAUUUUGAAUCACGCAAAUGUUGAUUCAUCGAAUUACAUGGCUUCUUCUUCCAUACAUUUUUUUAUUUUAUAGUAGAAAUCUAACUCAAUCUCAGGUGAACCACAGAAUUUAAAAUGAUAUAUUGAUAAAAAUGAGAAUGGAGCAAAUCAAGCUUUUCAAGAAGCCAUUCAAUGAGAAUGAAUGAAAAGAAUCACAAAUUCUCCAAAGAAAGUUAUCGUUGGGGAACUCCUUCAGCUACUUACCUUCAACAACUUUUUUGGUCCGAAGCUUUCCACGUUCCACUUACUGAUAUCUCCAAUUUAGAAAAUUAAUUUUAACCCCAAAUUUCAAGCUACGAGAAAAGAAGGAAAAAAUUUCAGUCAUACCUAACAAAAGCAUACAUAUAUUUAAGAAACCAAAAUACUUUCAGUCACACACGCAAAUCGCAGUGAAAAUCGAACAUGCAAGACAAAAGAAAAAUCUUUAAGCAAAUAUAACAAUACAUGUGGAGAGAAAAUACUCUGACUAAAGCAAAUGGCAAUACAUCUGAGAAACUACACAAAACCAAAGAAUGAGUAACAAGACUUAGGAAAUUGAGGGAAACGAAAAAAUUAUAAGUUUAAAUCUGAAAAUUCCAAGCUAGAAUCCAUAUAUCCAUGGCUACUCCAUUAUUCAAAUAAGAGAAAUUACCUGAUAAAUAAAAAACAAAGCCAAUAGAACAGAUUACUUGAACAAUGGUAAAUAAUAUUAGCAGUGAUUGAAGUUCUACUGCUAAUUUUUUGAGACCUGGGAAAGGGUUGGGGAACAAUGGCUCUUUUGUUCUCCUUCAGAUUGGGGGAGUGAGAAAGAAAGAAGAGAGAAAGGGUUUGGGGGAAAAAAUGAGGGAAACAAGAAAAAUAACGUGGAAAACUUUUAGCGCUCUUUAUUUUUAUUUAGCGUAGGUCACGACCACCGUAACUAGAAGAGAAAAAGAAUAGAAAAAAGGGUUUGGGGGAAC
rnacentral:lncRNA from 1 species